GGAUGUGAGGGCGAUCUGGCUGUGACAUCUGUCACCCCACUGAUCGCCAGGGUUGAUUCGGCUGAUCUGGCUGGCUAGGCGGGUGUCCCCUUCCUCCUCCCUCACUGCUCCAUGUGCGUCCCUCCGGAAGCUGCACGCUGGGUCGAAGAGGACGGCCUUCCCCGAAUAGAGACGGACCGGGUCUUCAGUCGAGGGUAUAGGAGUAGCUGCGCUCCCCUGCUAGAACCUCCAAACAAGCUCUCAAAAAACCCAGCCUGCGCAGGCCAAAAGAGACAGAGGUCAAAGGCCCUAUCCAAUGAACACCAAGUAAGAAACUCCAGAAGAGUGGGAGAAGCAUCAGAUGUGAUAGACU
rfam:Erinaceus europaeus unplaced genomic scaffold scaffold00039, whole genome shotgun sequence